rnacentral:tRNA from 2 species
GACUUCGUAGCUCAACUGGAUAGAGUGUUGGUUUCCGAAACCAAAGGUUGGAGGUUCGAACCCUCUCGAGGUCA